GUAAAGUGGCAGAAGCUGGGACCAUCCAACUCUAAAGCCCACAUUCUUAGACAUUAGGGGAUAUUGAAUGAAGUGUGUGUAUGUAUGGGGGAAUUUAAGAGAAUAUCAAACCAUUUGUAGAGUUCUACCCAAUAUAGAGACCUUAUCUAAUGUAAGAGAACUCUGAAGACAUCUCAUUGAUUGAAUGCUCUCCCCUUCAUAGCAACUUCUUCUGCGGCUUCCUUGCCUGGUGCUCCAGUCUUUGAGGGAAGCACGGCUGGCACGUUCUUCCGUUUGGAGACAUGGUUGACAAUUUCUCCAUAAUGGGGACACAACUGGCAAUUUUCCUACAGAGUGAGGCAGAUGGCAAUUUUCCUUCAGAGACAUGCAGGCAACAGUUUUGCCCCUGGAGAGAAAAGCCUCGCCGAUUGAGAUGCAGCCAGUAAUUUUUACUAUACAGAAGACACAUCCAAUAAUUUUGCCCAGUGAGAGAAACGGCCAACAAUUUUCCCACAGAGGACAGGAAAAACAGACCAAAAAUUCAUAGUGGGGAGAAGUGAGGAGCAAAUGGGCUGGUAUGACCAAGAAAGACUUAAUAAGAAGCUGAGCCUUAAAUGAUCAAGAAGCACUGGAUAGAUAAGAGGAAUAAUCAUUUAUUAGCCAAGCGGGACUGGUGCCUUUUUGAGAACUGUCAUUCUGGAAAGAUAUUGAUUGAAGGAGGCCUCUGAGCACAUUCUCUCCAGCAGGCAGCCGUAAGGGAGGCGGCUGCAGUCCAGACAAGAUGAUGAGUUGGCAGUGAGCAUCUCGACAGGAGCCUAAUGAAGAAAUCUGGUAGCUUUGUGCAGUUACUCCAAGAGAAGCCCGAACUCCCUGGGGAGCCUCUGCCCAGGUGGAAGAGCUCUCGAGUGGCUAUUAUUAGGGGUGAUUGCUGGGAAGCUGGUUGCCAUGGCACCGCAGAGGCCAGUGCUGAACUCCCAAGCUGCCCCGUUUCCAAGGCUGUCUACAUAAUCACUGCAAUGAGAGGCACAGGCACAGAAAGGGAGAGAGGAGCAGCUCCCCACUGACAGUGAUCUCCCUGCAGAGCAAGGUUCCUGGAGUUUGCAAACAUCGAGUAGUGAUAGUCUUCCAUCUGCCAGGCACUGCGCUAAACUCUUUAUGGAGACAAAGAAAUGAUGCUCAGAGAGUCAUUUGCCCUUGGUCACAGGCUAAGAAGAGGCAGAGCUAGGACGUAAACCCAACUCUGGCUCUAUGGCAUCUCAUAUAGCAUCAUUUUUCCUCCAGUCCUCUGACUAGAAAGGGUGGCCCCUUCAACCUGGUGCUGAGAACAGACACUGGCGGCCCCACACCUCUGAAGGCAUGGUUCCAGCAAAUAGAAAUUGGACUGGCAAGGAUUAAACCGCUGGUUUGGGCUUCAUUAGCUAUGUGAUCUCACCAACCACAGAGAAUUAACCAGAGUGGAGCCAUCUCUUUACAGACUUAACACAAUGUACCGAGGCAAUGUGGAGAACAGUCACUGAAUUUAUUGAGCACCUACUACCUGCUCCAGACAUGCCAUUAACACGUGGGCUAUCCUUCCCUUCCACAGUCACUCUAGAACUUGAGGCCACUGUCCUCUGAUGCAGAGAGAAGAAACAUUUUAUAAUCACUGUAGACAAUAAAGGCUUUAUCUGUUAGCAAGCACUUUUGCUUAAUGACUUGGUCAUGGGGAAGGAGAGACAGGUUGUACUUGGUCCUCAUUUUGCACUUGGUUAGAGAGUAAGAGGCCUUUCCAUCUCCACUGCUGCUCAGGUACUUCCUCCCAGUGUACUCUAGCACUCCCCCAGCAGGUUCUGUAGAAACACAGACCCCAAGGCCUGGGCAGACUCUACCAGAAAAAUACUUGUGUUCCUCUGUGCUCUGCCUAGUACAUGGCUUCCCUGGCUACCUCUCCUACAGGCCUGGGGAGGCAAAGAUGGGAAGUGUUUGUAGGUAUUAUCUACUGACAACAUUCAACUUUAGACCUCGGUUCAAGCCCCCUCUACCUUUGCCUAGAUCUUUGACUUUGUGUAAACAACAUGCUUUUUCUGGGCCCAAUUUUCUCAUCUGUAACUCCAAGUUUAUGAAUUGUUUUGAUAAUAAAAUACUAAAAAAUA
rnacentral:lncRNA from 1 species